rnacentral:piRNA from 1 species
UUCGUGACACAUCGCUAGUCC